AGCCCUGCAUGUCUCAGUAUAAGCUUCUAUACGGCGAAACUGCGAACGGCUCAUUAAAACAGUUAUAGUUUAUUUGAUGGUCAACAAUUACAUGGAUAACCGUGGUAAUUCUAGAGCUAAUACAUGCGCCCAAACCCGACUUCUUGGAAGGGUUGUGUUUAUUAGAUACAGAACCAACCCAGGCUCCGUCUGGCAUUGAGGUGAUUCAUAAUAACCGAACGGAUCGCAUGGCUUCGCGGCCGCGAUAAAUCAUUCAAGUUUCUGACCUAUCAGCUUUCGACGGUAGGGUAUUGGCCUACCGUGGCAUUGACGGGUAACGGAGAAUUAGGGUUCGAUUCCGGAGAGGGAGCCUGAGAAACGGCUACCACAUCUAAGGAAGGCAGCAGGCGCGCAAAUUACCCAAUCCUGACAUAGGGAGGUAGUGACAAGAAAUACCAAUACGGGGCAUCCAUGUCUCGUAAUUGGAAUGAGAACAAUUUAAAUCCCUUACCGAGUAUCAAUUGGAGGGCAG
rnacentral:rRNA from 1 species